GGUUCUAUAGUAAGAAGUAUAAAAUAUUAGAUUGCAAAUCUAAAGAUGUGAAAUUAACACUAGAACUU
rnacentral:tRNA from 1 species